CACGGUUGACCAGGACAGACCCUAGGUUCAUCCACGGUCCGUUAGUCGUGGUCCGUGGUUGGUGACUGGGCGAUUAUUUUGGGGACUUAAGGGUCUUUUCCGAUUUUAAUUAAAUUGAAGUGGUGUCGUUUUGCCUAAGUCUAAAACACCUAUAUAAGUAUUUUUAACCCCCAAAAUCCCCCAAUUAAGUCAUUCUCUCAAAU
rnacentral:lncRNA from 1 species